UACGUAGGGUGCGAGCGUUAAUCGGAUUUACUGGGCGUAAAGCGUGCGCAGGCGGCCCGUUAAGACAGGUGUGAAAUCCCUGGGCUCAACCUAGGAAUUGCGCUUGUGACUGGCGGACUAGAGGACGGUAGAGGGGGGUGGAAUUCCUGGUGUAGCAGUGAAAUGCGUAGAGAUCAGGAGGAACACCGAUGGCGAAGGCAGCCCCCUGGGCCUGUACUGACGCUCAUGCACGAAAGCGUGGGGAGCAAACAGG
rnacentral:rRNA from 1 species